GACGAACGCUGGCGGCGUGCUUAACACAUGCAAGUCGAACGCUGAAGCUCAGCUUUUGUUGGGUGGAUGAGUGGCGAACGGGUGAGUAACACGUGAGUAACCUGCCCCCUUCUUUGGGAUAACGCCCGGAAACGGGUGCUAAUACUGGAUAUUAACUGGUCUUCGCCUGGGGGCUGGUGGAAAGGGUGUUUCUGGUGGGGGAUGGGCUCGCGGCCUAUCAGCUUGUUGGUGGGGUGAUGGCCUACCAUGGCAACGACGGAUAGCCGAGCUGGGCGGGUGAGCGGCCACACGGGAACUGAGGGACGGUCCAGACUCCUAAGGGAGGCAGGAGGAGGGAAUGUUGGGCAAUGGGCGAAAGCCUGACGGAGCAACGCCGCGGGAGUGGUGAAGGUCUUGGGAUCUUAAGACUCUGUUAUUAGGGAAGAACAUAUGUGUAAGUAACUGUGCAUAUCGUGACGGUACCUAAUCAGAAAGCCACGGCUAACUACGUG
rnacentral:rRNA from 1 species